rnacentral:rRNA from 1 species
AUACGGGGGGGGCAAGCGUUGUUCGGAAUUACUGGGCGUAAAGCGCGUGUAGGCGGCUUUUUAAGUCAGACGUGAAAGCCCUAGGCUUAACCUAGGAAUUGCGCUUGAUACUGUAGAGCUAGAGUGUGGAAGGGGCUACUGGAACUCCGUGUGUAGCGGUGAAAUGCGUAGAUAUACGGAGGAACACCUGCGGCGAAGGCGGGUAGCUGGGCCAACACUGACGCUGAGACGCGAAAGCUAGGGGAGCAAACGG